UACGAAGGGUGCAAGCGUUGUUCGGAAUUACUGGCGUAAAGGGCGCGUAGGCGGCACAGCAAGUCGGGAGUGAAAGCCCGGGCUCAACCCGGAAUGGCUUUCGAAACUGCUGAGCUAGAGUACAGAAGGGCAACCGGAAUUCCAGUGUAGCGGUGAAAUGCGUAGAUAUUGGGAAGAACACCUGAGGCGAAGGCGGGUUGCUGGGCUGAUACUGACGCUGAGGCGCGAAAGCCAGGGAGCAAACGGG
rnacentral:rRNA from 1 species